rnacentral:rRNA from 1 species
UGGGGAAUAUUGGGCAAUGGGCGCAAGCCUGACCCAGCAACGCCGCGUGAGGGAAGAAGGCCUUCGGGUUGUAAACCUCUGUCCUUGGUGACGAAACAAAUGACAGUAGCCAAGGAGGAAGCCCCGGCUAACUACGUGCCAGCAGCCGCGGUAAUACGUAGGGGGCGAGCGUUGUCCGGAAUUACUGUGCGUAAAGGGUGCGUAGGUGGCCUUUUAAGUUGGAUGUGAAAUACCCGGGCUUAACUUGGGGGGUGCAUCUAAUACUGGGAGGCGAGAGUGCAGGAGAGGGAAGCGGAAUUCCUAGUGUAGCGGUGAAAUGCGUAGAUAUUAGGAGGAACACCAGUGGCGAAGGCGGCUUUCUGGACUGUAACUGACACUGAGGCACGAAAGCGUGGGGAGCAAACA